rnacentral:misc_RNA from 1 species
GAUGAAGAACGCAGCGAAAUGCGAUACGUAAUGUGAAUUGCAGAAUUCAGUGAAUCAUCGAAUCUUUGAACGCACAUUGCACUCUCUGGUAUUCCGGAGAGUAUGCUUGUUUGAGUAUCUGUAAACAUCUCAAAUCUCUCUUCAAUUGCUUCAAUUGGGUCGAGAGAAUUGGAUUUGAGCGAUCCCGACUCCUUCGUCAGAAAGAGGAGGGCCGCUUGAAAUGCAGGUGCAGCUGGACAUUCUUCUGAGCAAAAAGCAUAUCUAUUUAGUCCCGUCAAACGGAUUAUUACUUUUGCUUCAGCUAAUAUAAAGGUUGAAUGAACUACCAACGCUGAUUGCAGGAAAACAUGUUCGUUUAUUCGGACUUGUAAACUCGAUCUCAAAUCAAGUAAGACUACCCGCUGAACUUAAGCAUAUCAAUAAGCGGAGGA